rnacentral:lncRNA from 1 species
GGACAAGAUUAUUGUUUUCAAUCUAAAUACGGCCAGACUCUCAGAUCUCAGACUGCCUCCUCAAACAAUGGCUCGAACCUUGCACUUUAAAUCUAUCCAGAGCUUAUACUGACUGGGGAUAAUUAUUCAGCUAUGUUAUUUUAAGAUAGGCGCGGGCGUUUGGGGUUAAACAUAAUUUCGUAGGUAAAUAAUAUUAAUGUGGAACUUUUUUCAUGAGAUUAUAAUAGAGUAUAACUUUUUUUGGUUGAAUUGUGAAAUAGAAGUCAAUACGUUCU